UUAAAAACUGCCCAUUGAAUAGAUUAUUAUUAACUCUUCCGUUGUGUACUACCUUUGCGAUGAUUUACUGAAGAAUUGUCAAAUGGUUAUUUUGUUGGUAAUUUACCGGUCAUUAAACUCAAUCAUACAAAUAUUUACUCCAGUACAACUAAACAGAUCGCUGUUUGCAAUUCUGUCAUGGUUUACGAUUAGUAAAGUACUUACAACUACAACUGGACUUAAUUAUUAUAUACUAAUUUCUAAGAUAAAUAAUAACACUUAAGAUUACGACUCCAUUAUUGUUAUGAAUAUCCUCAAUCAUCACCUAUCAUUUAGUGCAGUGUAUAAUCUGUAAUUGACGACAGAAAAAUUUUUAUCAAUGACAUUCAUUUGUAUUUCGACAUUUCUAAUUGGUUUACAAAUCUGUACAGAUAACGUAAUCGUCAGUUACUUUUAUCGUAUGAUCAAGUUAUAUCAAGUUAUACUUGACACUUCAGUGACAAGUAACUUGCAUGUAAAAUAAAUUAAUUUCUAUGGCUCAUGUGUUUGCACACGUAUACAUUGAUAUAAAUUGAAUUGGGAUCGGAAAAAAUACGUUAUUACCAAGACUACGAGUGCCGAUGCAGUUUUCUUAUUUUAUACAUGUUAAAAUUCAAAACAACGUCGUAGUCGCUCAAAGGCAAUUAACAAUUUUAAGAUAAAUUUGAUUUACCUACGUUCAAAAGUUCAGGAGGACUUGUAUACAUUUUUCUAUACGCUCAUAUUUUUCUAAUUUCUGAGGUUAAGGAUCUGCUAAUCUCAGGGAAGUAGCGUUAUUAUCUUCAGAUAUAAUAGGUUCCGAGGAAAACGGUACAGUAAUAUCUGAUAAUCAAAAUUCAGACCUAGAACAGAACUUGACCGAAAAAAGAAAAAAAAACGAUAAGGCUACAGAAAUUUUUUUUUUACCAUAAAAAAUAAAUAUUAAGAUCGUUACAUAAGAAUAUACUAGAACAUAAACGCCAGUACCAAGAAUAUACCACGCUACCUUGAAUUACACAAUAUAUGAAUUGAAUGAAAAUGAAAUUGAAAUGAUAUCAUA